GAUGAACGCUGACAGAAUGCUUAACACAUGCAAGUCGAUUCGAUUUACCUUCGGGUAUUGAGGAUGGCGGACGGGUGAGUAACGCGUAAGGAACUUGCCUCUUGGUCUGGGACAACUGUUGGAAACGACAGCUAAUACCGGAUAUUAUGAGAUUCUCGCAUGGGAAACUUAUGAAAGCUAUAUGCGCCAAGAGAGAGCCUUGCGUUCCAUUAGCUAGUUGGUGGGGUAACGGCCCACCAAGGCGACGAUGGAUAGCCGGCCUGAGAGGGUGAACGGCCACAAGGGGACUGAGACACGGCCCUUACUCCUACGGGAGGCAGCAGUGGGGAAUAUUGGACAAUGGACCAAAAGUCUGAUCCAGCAAUUCUGUGUGCACGAUGAAGGUCUUCGGAUUGUAAAGUGCUUUCAGUUGGGAAGAAGCAAGUGACGGUACCAACAGAAGAAGCGACGGCUAAAUACGUGCCAGCAGCCGCGGUAAUACGUAUGUCGCAAGCGUUAUCCGGAUUUAUUGGGCGUAAAGCGCGUCUAGGCGGAAAAAUAAGUCUGAUGUUAAAAUGCGGGGCUCAACUCCGUAUUGCGUUGGAAACUGUUUUUCUAGAGUACUGGAGAGGUGGGCGGAACUACNAGUGUAGAGGUGAAAUUCGUAGAUAUUUGUAGGAAUGCCGAUGGAGAAGUCAGCUCACUGGNNAGAUACUGACGCUAAAGCGCGAAAGCNUGGGGAGCAAACAGGAUUAGAUACCCUGGUAGUC
rnacentral:rRNA from 1 species